rnacentral:rRNA from 1 species
UACGUAGGGUGCGAGCGUUGUCCGGAAUUACUGGGCGUAAAGAGCUCGUAGGUGGUUUGUCGCGUUGUUCGUGAAAACUCACAGCUCAACUGUGGGCGUGCGGGCGAUACGGGCAGACUGGAGUACUGCAGGGGAGACUGGAAUUCCUGGUGUAGCGGUGGAAGUGCGCAGAUAUCAGGAGGAACACCGGUGGCGAAGGCGGGUCUCUGGGCAGUAACUGACGCUGAGGAGCGAAAGCGUGGGGAGCGAACAGG